rnacentral:rRNA from 1 species
GGGUCCGCACAAGCGGUGGAGCAUGUGGUUCAAUUCGAUGGUACGCGAGGAACCUUACCUGGGCUAGAAUGCAAGUGGAAUACGGCUGAAAGGUCGUAGCCCCGCAAGGGGCCGCUUGUAAGGUGCUGCAUGGCUGUCGUCAGCUCGUGUCGUGAGAUGUUGGGUUAAGUCCCGCAACGAGCGCAACCCCCAUCAUUAGUUGCCAUCGGGUAAAGCCGGGGACUCUAGUGAAACUGCCUGCGUAAGCAGCGAGGAAGGAGGGGACGACGUCAAGUCAUCACGGCCUUUAUGUCCAGGGCUACACACGUGCUACAAUGGUAGGUACAGAGGGCUGCAACACGGCGACGUGAAGCCAAUCCCAAAAAACCUACCUCAGUUCAGAUUGGAGUCUGCAACCCGACUCCAUGAAGCUGGAAUCGCUAGUAAUCGGGUAUCAGCAAUGAUCCGGUGAAUACGUUCCCGGACCUU